rnacentral:rRNA from 1 species
UACAGAGGUGGCAAGCGUUGUUCGGAAUUACUGGGCGUAAAGGGCGUGUAGGCGGCCAACUAAGUCCGACGUGAAAUCCCCAGGCUUAACCUGGGAACUGCGUCGGAUACUGGAUGGCUUGAAUCCGGGAGAGGGAUGCGGAAUUCCAGGUGUAGCGGUGAAAUGCGUAGAUAUCUGGAGGAACACCGGUGGCGAAGGCGGCAUCCUGGACCGGCAUUGACGCUGAGGCGCGAAAGCCAGGGGAGCAAACGGG